ACGCGCCCCAGGCGCACCCAGAAACCCUUUGUGAACUUAUACCUUUUGUUGCCUCGGCGCAUGCUGGCCUCUAGUAGGCCCCUCACCCCGGUGAGGAGAAGGCACGCCGGCGGCCAAGUUAACUCUUGUUUUUACACUGAAACUCUGAGAAAAAACACAAAUGAAUCAAAACUUUCAACAACGGAUCUCUUGGUUCUGGCAUCGAUGAAGAACGCAGCGAAAUGCGAUAAGUAAUGUGAAUUGCAGAAUUCAGUGAAUCAUCGAAUCUUUGAACGCACAUUGCGCCCUCUGGUAUUCCGGAGGGCAUGCCUGUUCGAGCGUCAUUUCAACCCUCAAGCAUUGCUUGGUGUUGGGGCACUGCUUUUAACGAAGCAGGCCCUGAAAUCUAGUGGCGAGCUCGCCAGGACCCCGAGCGCAGUAGUUAAACCCUCGCUUUGGAAGGCCCUGGCGGUGCCCUGCCGUUAAACCCCCAACUCUUGAAAAUUUGACCUCGGAUCAGGUAGGGAUACCCGCUGAACUUAAGCAUAUCAAUAGC
rnacentral:rRNA from 1 species